UACGUAGGGACCAAGCGUUGUUCGGAUUUACUGGGCGUAAAGGGUGCGCAGGCGGCGUGACAAGUCACUUGUGAAAUCUCUGAGCUUAACUCAGAACGGCCAAGUGAAACUGUUGUGCUAGAGUGCAGAAGGGGCAAACGGAAUUCUUGGUGUAGCGGUGAAAUGCGUAGAUAUCAAGAGGAACACCUGAGGUGAAGCCGGGUUGCUGGGCUGACACUGACGCUGAUGCGCGAAAGCCUGGGGAGCAAACGGG
rnacentral:rRNA from 1 species